GAUCUACCCUUGUCCAGGAUGAAGUGAGGGUAAAACCUCAUGGAGGUCCGAACUAAUGUGGGUUGAAAACCGCUUGGAUGAGGUAAGGGUAGGAGCGAAAGACCAAUCAAACUCGGUGAUAGCUCGUACUCCUCGAAAUAGCUUUAGGGCUAGCCUCGAGUAAUAGUAUGCCGGAGGUAGAGCACUGAUUGGGCUAGGGCUGUCACAACGGUACCAAACCCAGACAAACUCCGAAUUCCGGUCAUAUGUUUCUCGGGAGUCAGGCAGCGGGGGAUAAGCUUCGUUGCCAAAAGGGAAACAACCCAAAUCAUCAACUAAGGCCCCAAAAUAGUAGUUAACAGAGAAAGGAUGUUAAGUUGCUCAGACAACUAGGAUGUUGGCUUAGAAGCAGCCAUUCAUUUAAAGAGUGCGUAAUAGCUCACUAGUCAAGCGACUUAGCGUCGACAAUGUCCGGGACUUAAACUACUUGCCGAAGUUAUGGGAUCCGCCUUUGGCGGAUCGGUAGAGGAGCAUUCCAUUUGCUGCGAAGGUGAAGCGUGAGCUCUGCUGGAGCGAAUGGAAAAGCAAAUGUAGGCAUAAGUAACGAUAAUGAAGAUGAAAAAUCUUCACGCCGAAAAUCUAAGGUUUCCUGAGCAAUGUUAGUCAUCUCAGGGUUAGUCGGAUCCUAAGCCGAGGCUGAAAGGCGUAGGUGAUGGAAAACAGGCUAAAAUUCCUGUACCUGGUAUUAUUCGUUUUACCAUAAGGAGUGACGCAGAAGUGAAAGAUCAGCCACCUGUUGGAUUAGGUGGUCUAAGCAUGUAGGUUUGAAGAGCCGGCAAAUCCGCUCUUCUCUAAGACCGAGGUGCGAACGGGAGGGCUUGCCCACAAACUGAUCCUAAUCAGACUGCCGAGAAAAACUUCGUAUGGGAGAAUUGUAUCAGUCCGUACCGUAAACCGACACAGGUAGAUGGGAUGAGUAUUCUAAGGCGCUCGAGUGAGCCGUGGUUAAGGAACUCGGCAAAUUAACCCCGUAAGUUCGCAAGAAGGGGUGCCUCUUGUAGGUGAAAUUGUACAAAUUGAGCCGAAAGAGGCCGCAGUGAAAUGGCCCAAGCGACUGUUUAACAAAAACACAUGUCUCUGCUAAGUCAAUUCAGACGAUGUAUAGGGACUGACACCUGCCCGGUGCUGGAAGGUUAAGGGAAGAGGUUAGCGCAAGCGAAGCUUUGAACCGAAGCCCCAGUAAACGGCGGCCGUAACUAUAACGGUCCUAAGGUAGCGAAAUUCCUUGUCGGGUAAGUUCCGACCUGCACGAAUGGUGUAACGAUUUGGGCACUGUCUCAACCACGGGCUCGGUGAAAUUGUGGUACCGGUGAAGACGCCGGUUACCCGCAUAUGGACGGAAAGACCCCGUGCACCUUUACUGCACCCUAAUAUUGGGUUCGGGUAAGGCAUGUGUAGAAUAGGUGGGAGGCUUUGAAGCCGGAGCGCUAGCUUCGGUGGAGCCAACUGUGAAAUACCACCCUUGUUUUAUUUGGAUUCUAACCUCAGCCCUUGAAUCAGGGUUAGGAACAGUGUUAGGCGGGUAGUUUGACUGGGGCGGUCGCCUCCUAAAAUGUAACGGAGGCUCUCAAUGGUUCCCUCAGCAUGGUUGGUAAUCAUGCGGCGAGUGUAAAGGCAAAAGGGAGCUUGACUGCGAGACUUACAAGUCGAGCAGGUGCGAAAGCAGGACUUAGUGAUCCGACGGCUGCGAGUGGAAGUGCCGUCGCUCAAAGGAUAAAAGGUACGCCGGGGAUAACAGGCUGAUCUUGCCCAAGAGUUCAUAUCGACGGCAAGGUUUGGCACCUCGAUGUCGGUUCAUCGCAUCCUGGGGCUGAAGAAGGUCCCAAGGGUUUGGCUGUUCGCCAAUUAAAGCGGUACGUGAACUGGGUUCAGAACGUCGUGAGACAGUUCGGUCCCUAUCCUAUGCGGGCGUAGGAAACUUGAGAAGAGUCGCUUCUAGUACGAGAGGACCGAAGUGAACGCACCUCUAGUGUACCAAUUGUCGCGCCAGCGGCAGCGUUGGGUAGCUAUGUGCGGACGUGAUAAGCGCUGAAAGCAUCUAAGUGCGAAGCACACUUCAAGAUUAGGUUUCCCUUACGCAAGUAACUAAAGACUCCUUGGAGAUUACAAGGUUGAUAGGCUGCAGGUGCAAGCCCGGUAACGGGUUCAGCCGAGCAGUACUAAUAAGUCGUGCGACUUAGCC
rnacentral:rRNA from 1 species